UACGGAGGGUGCGAGCGUUGUUCGGAAUUACUGGGCGUAAAGCGCGCGUAGGUGGUUCGUUAAGUUGGAUGUGAAAUCCCCGGGCUCAACCUGGGAACUGCAUUCAAAACUGUCGAGCUAGAGUAUGGUAGAGGGUGGUGGAAUUUCCUGUGUAGCGGUGAAAUGCGUAGAUAUAGGAAGGAACACCAGUGGCGAAGGCGACCCCCUGGACUGAUACUGACACUGAGGUGCGAAAGCGUGGGGAGCAAACAGG
rnacentral:rRNA from 1 species